GACGAACGCUGGCGGCGUGCCUAACACAUGCAAGUCGAACGGAGUUUAAUAACGGAAGCCUUCGGGCGGAAGAUAUUAAACUUAGUGGCGGACGGGUGAGUAACGCGUGAGCAACCUGCCUCUCAGAGGGGGAUAACGUUUGGAAACGACUGCUAAUACCGCAUAAGCCCAUAGCUCCGCAUGGAGCAGAGGGAAAAGGAGUGAUCCGCUUUGAGAUGGCCUCGCGUCCGAUUAGCUAGUUGGUGAGGUAACGGCCCACCAAGGCGACGAUCGGUAGCCGGACUGAGAGGUUGAUCGGCCACAUUGGGACUGAGACACGGCCCAG
rnacentral:rRNA from 1 species